CUGCACUGUUCGUAAUUGGUUUCCAGCUCUCUUCUGGUGCCAGUUCCAUUCCGGUGCUAGAUUAUACCUGGUUGGGGAGUGUAUGUGGCAGAGGUUGGAGUUCUGUCAUUUUCCCCAGAUAUCAGGGACAUGG